rnacentral:rRNA from 1 species
UACGGAGGGUGCAAGCGUUAUCCGGAUUCACUGGGUUUAAAGGGUGCGUAGGUGGGUUUGUAAGUCAGUGGUGAAAUCUCCAAGCUUAACUUGGAAACUGCCGUUGAUACUAUAAAUCUUGAAUGUUGUGGAGGUGAGCGGAAUAUGUCAUGUAGCGGUGAAAUGCUUAGAUAUGACAUAGAACACCAAUUGCGAAGGCAGCUCACUACAUAAAGAUUGACACUGAGGCACGAAAGCGUGGGGAUCAAACAGG